rnacentral:tRNA from 1 species
GGAGAAGUGGCCGAGUGGUCGAAGGCGGUUGACUCGAAAUCAACUGAGCGGCUUGCUGCUCCGUGAGUUCGAAUCUCACCUUCUCCGCCA